AAGUUUGUGUGACCUAGCUACUAUAUCUGUUAACCUCCUAUGGUUAGAGUGUUCUUGGCUGAUCUAGGUGGCUAGGGUGGUCUCUCUUUCCUUGUUCAUCACUUCAUGUGCAUUCCUUUUCAGCUUGCACACUUUGUCGAAUAAGAGAGGAAGAAUACUCCAUAGUCAAGGGUACAUAAUUAGGUGUGUUUCUCUAUGUGAAUCCCCAAACAGGCUCCCAGGUUUUACUAGUUAAAGGAAUCAGCUUUUUGCCUCUUAGCAUUUAAAAUUAAGGGUCCUCUAAAU
rfam:Rattus norvegicus chromosome X, whole genome shotgun sequence.